GACGAACGCUGGCGGCGUGCCUAAUACAUGCAAGUCGAGCGAACAGACGAGGAGUUUGCGCCUUGGACGUUAGCGGCGGAGGGGUGAGUAACACGUGGAUAACCUACCUAUAAGACUGGGAUAAUUUCGGGAAACCGGAGCUAAUACCGUAUAACAUAUUGAUCCGCAUGGUGCAACAGUGAAAGUCGGUAUUGGGGUCAGUUAUAGAUGGAUACGCGCCGCAUUAGCUAGUUGUUAAGUGAACGGCUUACCAAGGCAAGUAUGCGUAGCCGACCUGAGAGGGUGAUCGCCUACCCUGGAAGUGAGACUCCGUCCCGACUCCUGGGGGAGGCCGCAGUAGGGAAUCUUCCGCAAUAGGCGAGAGCGUGACGUAGCAACGCCGCGUGAGUGGAGACGAUCUUCUGGUCGUUAAGCUCUGAUGUUAGUGGAGAACAAAUGUGUAAGUAACUGUGCACAUCUUGACGGUACCGAAUCAAAAAGCCCCGGCUAACUACGUG
rnacentral:rRNA from 1 species